CGCCCCCCGAAAAGUCGUGCACUUGUGUAUGGGGGGUCCUGCCUGCCCGGUGACUUAGUUAAACGGCCGCGGUAUCUUGACCGUGCAAAGGUAGCAUAAUCAUUUGCCUUUUAAAUGGAGGCUGGUAUGAAUGGCAAGACGGGAGUUAGGCUGUCUCUUUCUUGUUCUUUUAAUUUAAUUUCUCUGUGAAGAAGCGGAGAUGAAGUCGUGGGACGAGAAGACCCUGUCGAGCUUUAGUAAACCCAGGCAGGUGGCCGGUGGUCGUGCUACUGCUAAUUUACUUUUUUGAGGUUUUAGUUUUACAAAGUUGAGGACCACACUUUGUGUGGGUUAUUUUGGUUGGGGCAACCGCGGAGAAGAAUGACCCUCCGCUGAAUUGACUAGGAAAGAUUAUAUUCUUCUUGUGCGAUUUUCGUUUUUUGUGAUCCGUUAGUGUUUAACGAUCAGAGGAGCAAGUUACCGCAGGGAUAACAGCGUUAUUUCCUUGGAGAGUUCAUAUUGAUAAGGGAGUUUGCGACCUCGAUGUUGGAUCGGGAUUUCCUAGGGGUGCAGCAGCUCCUAAGGGUUGGUCUGUUCGACCAUUAAAAUCCU
rnacentral:rRNA from 1 species